GACGAACGCUGGCGGCGUGCUUAACACAUGCAAGUCGAACGGUGAUCUUGAGAGCUUGCUCUUGGGUGAUCAGUGGCGAACGGGUGAGUAACACGUGAGCAACCUGCCCCAGACUCUGGAAUAACCCCGGGAAACCGGAGCUAAUACCGGAUACGACACUGGCCCGCAUGGGUAUGGUGUGGAAAGUUUUUCGGUCUGGGAUGGGCUCGCGGCCUAUCAGCUUGUUGGUGAGGUAGUGGCUCACCAAGGCGACGACGGGUAGCCGGCCUGAGAGGGCGACCGGCCACACUGGGACUGAGACACGGCCCAGACUCCUACGGGAGGCAGCAGUGGGGAAUAUUGCACAAUGGGCGCAAGCCUGAUGCAGCGACGCCGCGUGAGGGAUGACGGCCUUCGGGUUGUAAACCUCUUUCAGCAGGGAAGAAGCGCAAGUGACGGUACCUGCAGAAGAAGCACCGGCUAACUACGUGCCAGCAGCCGCGGUAAUACGUAGGGUGCGAGCGUUGUCCGGAAUUAUUGGGCGUAAAGAGCUUGUAGGCGGUUUGUCGCGUCUGCUGUGAAAAUCCGGGGCUCAACCCCGGACUUGCAGUGGGUACGGGCAGGCUAGAGUGUGGUAGGGGAGACUGGAAUUCCUGGUGUAGCGGUGAAAUGCGCAGAUAUCAGGAGGAACACCGAUGGCGAAGGCAGGUCUCUGGGCCACUACUGACGCUGAGAAGCGAAAGCAUGGGGAGCGAACAGGAUUAGAUACCCUGGUAGUCCAUGCCGUAAACGUUGGGAACUAGGUGUGGGUCUCAUUCCACGAGAUCCGUGCCGCAGCUAACGCAUUAAGUUCCCCGCCUGGGGAGUACGGCCGCAAGGCUA
rnacentral:rRNA from 1 species